ensembl:lncRNA
CGCCUGCCGACCCACCACUACUGAAGAUCAAUGACUGAACUACGAACCACACUGGAACAUGGUAUACAAACAUCAAAGAACCUCCUCUCCCUCUGAUAAAUUGGAGCGAGACAAAGAGAGAGAAGGCUGCAGGAGACAGCCUUCUCCUCCGUGCGUCUCUCCUGGGCUGCAAGGAAAUUCUGCUCAGCACCUGGAGCACCUCCUGCCCUCCUCCUGCAUUGACCUUGGAAUCUGCAGGAAAUAAUUGACCUGCAAAUAUGUAAAGGAUGAAAAAAGAAUUCCUUGGUGAUUACGGAAAUGCUGAUUUAUGUGGCAUUCAUUUAAUUCCUCCUGAUUUUUAACUUGUUUUAAGUAAGCAUUUUACCUAAUAUGCUUAGUGUAAAAG